ensembl:lincRNA Gm42595 predicted gene 42595
AAUAGAGCAAUUAACAUGGAGAAGCAGCACCCUGGAGAAGUAGAUAAUAGAAGCUUGGGUAUAUGCCCAAGGAUGUAGCUGCAUCAUGGGGUAACUUUAUUCUCAACUUUUUGAGGAACUGCCAUGCUGACUUACAGUGGUUGUAUCAAUUUGUACUCAAACUGGUGAAGGAUGAUCCCCUUUCUCUACAGUCAUGCCAGGUUCUACUGUCUAUUUUUAAAAACCUUGUCCAUUCUGAGUGGUGUAAGAUAUUUGAAGUCUCAAAGUUGUUUCCCAUUUCCCUGAUGGCUCAGGGUGGUCAACAUGUUUUUCAGACAUUUCAUUAAAAAAAAUAUUUUUGAGGUAGGUUUUGUUUUGUUUUCUUUUUUGGAUAUAGGGUUCUCUCAUUGGCAGUUCUGGAGUCCUCUGUGUAGACCCAGCAGACCAUGACCUCACAGAGAUCUACCUGCCUCUGCCCACCAAGAGCUGGGAUUAAGGGCUAGAGCCAUCAUGUCCUGCCCAGCCCAGCUUACUUAUGUGUCUGAGUUUUCUGUCUGCUCUUAACAGCUGAGCUAUCUCUCCAGCCCACUGUAUGUCUUGAGAAGUUUUAGUUCCUUGCUGUAUUUUUGUUUUUCGAGACAGGGUUUCUCUGUGUGGCCCUGGCUGUCCUGGAACUCACUCUGUAGACCAGGCUGGCCUCGAACUCAGAAGUCCUCCUGUCUCUGACUCCCAAGUGCUGGGAUUAAAGGCGUGUGCCACCACUGCCCAGCCUUUGCUGUAUUUUAAAGAUUGGCUUAUUUGCUUGCUUGUUUUUUAGGUUUAGGGUUUUUUGUUUUGUUUUGAUUUUUAAAAGACUUUUAAUGCUUAUGUGUGUGGUAUGUGAGCAUAGGUUCUCUCUAAUGGCUGUGUGUUCUAACUGCUGUUAGCUCCCCAGUCCAUGUUUUGAGAGUUUUUUUAGUUCUUUGUGUCUUCUAGACACUAAUUCUCUACCAGAUGUGUAGCUGGUAAAGACCUUUUCUCCUUCUGUAGUUGUUUCUUCACAUGAAUGAUACUGUCCCUUUGUUGUACAGAAACCUUAAGUUUUAUGAGGUCCCAUGGUUUUACUGCCUGCACUACUGGGGUCCUGUCCAGAAAGUCCUUCUGUGUGCUUUUAAGUUUAUUCUGCCCCACCCCCGACCUCUAUCAGAUUCAGGGUAUCAUGCCUUACACUGAGGUCCUUUGAUCCAUUUGGAGUUGAGGUCUGGCAGGGUGAGAGAUAAGAUUCCAGUUUACUCCACAUCCUGCUUUUCAGUUUGACCAGCAUCAUUUAUUAAAGAUGUCUUUCCUCUGGUAUCUUUGUUCCCUUUAUCAAAACUCAGAUGGUGGUGGGGUGUGUGGACUUACCUGGGUCCUCAGUUCUACUGCAUUGGGUAAUGUGCCUUUUUAUGCCAGUGCCAUGCUGGUUUUACUACUAUAGCUCCAUAGUGUGACUUUAAAAUUGGGGGUGGAGAUACCCUCAGCAGCUCUUUCACUGUUCAGGAUUGAAUUAUUGAUUAGAAUUAUUUAUCAGUUAAUGGUGUUACUGAUGUGUGUGUGUAGUCUGUAUUUUCUGUAUAAAAUUGAAUCCAUAUAUAAUUUAUGUAUAAAA